AUGUCUCGGGAAAGGCCCCCACGCACCGACAUCCCCCGCAACCUCAGUUUUAUCGCGGCGCUGACAGAACGAGCCUACUACCGAAGCCAGCGGCCCAGUCUGGAGGAGGAGCCGCAGCCGGAGGAGGAGGAGCCGGAGCCCCGGGAGGGGGGCGGGGCGCGCCUCCGGCCUCGUUCCCGAGUCCUAGCCGCUGUGCGGGGCCGUCGGGCCCGCUCAGCUCCCGCUGGAGGCGGUGCCCGGGCUCCGCGCAGCCGCAGCCCGGACACCCGCAAGCGAGUGCGCUUCGCCGACGCUUUGGGGCUGGAGCUGGCGGCAGUCCGCCGCUUCAGUCCCGGGGAAUUGCCCCGCGUGCCCCGCCACGUGCAAGUCCAGCUGCAGCGCGACGCCCUCAGGCACUUUGGGCCUUGCCCACCCCGCACCCGCAGCCUCCAGGAGGCGCGCGCUGCCCUCGAGCCCGCCCGCGAGCCCGGCUUCGCCGCCCGCCUGCAGGCUCAGCGCAUAUGCCUAGAGCGAGCAGAGGCGGGCCCGCUGGGCGUGGCUGGGAGCGCGCGCGUGCUGGACCUGGCCUACGAGAAGCGCGUGAGCGUGCGCUGGAGCGCGGACGGUUGGCGCAGCCAGCGCGAGGCUCCCGCCACCUACGCAGGCCCGGCUCCGCCCCCUCCGCGUGCGGAUCGAUUCGCCUUCCGCUUGCCUGCCCCACCAAGCGGGGGUUCCUUGCUCUUCGCCCUUCGCUACCGCGUAACAGGCCUUGAGUUCUGGGACAACAACGGCGGCCGCGACUACGUUCUGCGUGGGGCUGACUCCCCCAGCAGUGGUAGCAGUAGCGACUCGGAACCCCAGGGCUGGAUCCACUUUAUCUGAGCGUGGAACGGGGAACCCAGGGAUCAGGGGAAAGUGCGGAAAACGGCGGGAGAAACCAAAGGAACACGGGGUCGGGGGGAGCCGAGGAUGCGGCAAAGGAAUGAAGAGCUUCCUUGCUGUUCUCCCAGACUGAGCCAUUUGCCCUCUUCUGGCCUCAGAUUCCCUCUUGGAAGUCUUCCAGAGGAGAGGUGGGAAGAAGGCAAACAGCAGUUUCUUCUUGGUGACCCAGAUGAACUUUGUUUCCCCAGGUAAUCAGUUUUUUCCCUCUCCACUUUCUUUGGGUUCUUUGAAUUGGGGGGAAUUUAUUGACUCUUAUCUCUUCUAGCCUUCUAUAUUAGAAAGGAGGGAUUAGGAAUUCUGAUCAGAUUAGAGACUAUCAUAACUCUUUUGGUCUCUAGCCAAACCCUAUACCCCUGAGUAGAGUUCAAAGAAAUAACAUACUUAAAGAAACUCAAUACAUACAGCCACCUCCAAUUAACAAUACAAUAUAACAGAUCAGUGAAAAACACUAUAUAGGGGAGUGGGGGACAGAAAAGGGGAAAAGACAUAGUCAAUAAGGGUUAGACACAUUUGAAGCAAUUUCUCAUAUUCUAUGGUCUCAGGUUCUGAUUUCCCGAAUUGCUGCUCUUUUGUAUUGUCUCCACAAAUUUGGCUUGAAGAGGUUGAAGGAUUGGUGGAGGAAGGGAAGUUAUGAUGGUACCAUACCUCAUGAACCUCAGCUCCUACUUCCUCUCAAUCAUGAUUAAUAAGGCUUGUAUAAUGUUAGCAAGUGUGUUGCUGGUAUGUAUAAGAGAUCCCAGGUCCCUGCCUUGAUGCCUAUAUUCCAAUAUCAACCUCCCUAACUUCCCAGGAAAGGUUCCUCCAACCCCCUGCCUGGAAGUCUCUAGACUUCUGUCUCUCCAAGGCCUUAAUUUUGCAAGGGUUUGCAAGUUUCCAAGGAAUAUUCCUAUAAAUACACCAAGUAUUUUUCUUUGUGGUUGGGUCAGAAGCUGUGCCUAUGGAAAGUUGAAGGAGAGGGCAGCUACUAGAAGCUUAAGGCCCCUUUGGAAAUCUUACUGCAGAUGAAUGGGUAAGGUCCUGAGCUCUCUCUUACAAGCAAUUUCAACUCUAGCUCAAGUGCUGUGAAACUCAGUGACAGUCUCAUUGUGCCUGUCAGUGACCCAUAUCAUUUAGAAUCCUAGGAAUUUGAGUAGUUUAUCUCCCAUGCCUCCUUAAAACACACAACCACAAUACAAGUAGUCAUAAGCGGAAUUGAUGACUUGGUGUUUCACCUUACUAGACUAGUCUAACAUUUGUAUGUGUCCUAUUCAUUUUUGAAAAGAGCAUGACGUGGACCCCAGUGCUUUGAAGCUCUCUGGGGGAGCUCCCUAUGUAGAGGUCACCUCUGGGUAAUGCUGUUCUCAGCCUGACCACUGUUCCUAGAUCAAACUCAUUUUCUCCUCCCCAAAAUCCAACACACACACACACACACACACACCCACCCUCCCCCACUUCCCUACAAUACACAUCCCUUAAAGGAGCACCAGGGAUUCUAUAUCUACUUCUGCCAACCAGAAAAUGUUUAUAAUGUAUACAUGUGCCUCCCACACACACACUUUACAAAGCUUUCCUUCCUACCUCAUCUUUAACAAAAUGACAGCCUGACUAUACCCAAAGAGAAGCUAACUUACCUUUCUCUGGGCUAGCCCAAACUAUCUUGAGAUAGAAGAUAUUUCAGUGAAGAGGAAAAAAGAAGGUAGCUGGGGCUAAGUUAUUUCUCUAAACAUUAAUAAUAUGCUAACUAUUAAAUAAAAAAUGCCAAGCAACAGAAAUUACUACCAUGUGAGUGAAAGGGCAUACAUUCACCCUUGAAUAAGAGGCUAUAAUCUUGGGGGAAAGAAAUAUGAGAUGGUUGGAAAGGGGGUUCUCCGUAUAAUUGAACUCUGUCGCUUAAAUUGUAAUCCAACCUAUCUGGACUCCAUUUUACCCCUGAGUUAUAAAUUUUGCCUUUCCAUGCCACCCUCACAAGAGGCAGUAAUAUCCAUUAUCACUGGUUCACAGAAUCAAAGUGUGUUAAAGCUAAAAGUAACUGAGAAUAUCUAGUCCUACAGACAUGGGUCUAGAUAUUUAGUAACUAACCUACUCAUGGUCACUCAGAUAAGCUAAUGAGCUAUAACCUGAAUCCUCUGACUCCCAAUUCUAUAAUCUUCAUAUGUCACUCCCUAGGACUAGAGUAAAAAGGACUUUCUCCUGAAAAUGCCACCAAAAAUACUUUCUCAUUCAACAGACCAUUAGCUUUUCAGCAAAAAUAAAGUAAAUCAGACAUGUCUCUCAAAACCCCUUCUUUAAUCAACAGUUUUCAACAUUUCCUUCCUACGGCUUCUAACAUUUCAGGUUAGUUCAACAAACUAUUAAGCAUCAGAAAUGUGCAGGGGGGAAAUUCAGAUGAUAUAGGGUCCCUCCUAGCACAUAUGGAAUUUAGUCUGGAGUAUGAUACAGAAAAUCCUGUGAAUCAUUAGAGAGAUGUGCAGCUUGGAAUGUGAGGGAAGUUAAUUGCCACCUGAGAUUGGGGGGACCUGAGAAGGCUUUCUGAAGGAGGUGGCAUUUCAUUGGGCUUUAGGGGAUACAUAGGAAUUCAGUGGGUAUAAAGGAUCAUGGGAUUGGAAAAGAAUGACAGGGAACUGAGAAUAAAGGUCUCCUGAUAGUUGAGUAUGGGAGAUAGCAAACAAGCAACCCACUUUGCCUGGAAUAUAACAUGUAGAGGGAGAAGUUAAGCAAGAAGGAAGCCUUUGGACAAUUCUGAACAGAAAAUGGCAUGACUAGAUCAAUGCAUAAUGAAGAUGUAUCUGGCUAUGGGGGGCAGAAAGACCUGUUAAAAUUUUAUGAAGGCAGGUGAUGCUACAGAAGUAGAAUUAUUGGUAAUUGAUGAGCUGUGAGGGGUGAGGGAGAAGAGUUGUAAAAAAAUAUCCAAAUUUUUGAACAGGGACAAAUGGUGGCAGAAAGAGUUGUCAGAAGGAGUGAAUUUUGAUGGAAAGACUUUUGGAACAUGUGAAAUUUGGGCACAGUGGACAGAGAAGUGAGUUUGCACUUGAUGCCUCAAUCUCAGGAGGGUCAGGGCUGGGAACAGAUCUGGAAUUCUUUUAUGUAAAGAUAAUGGUUUAAAUAUUAGGAAGGAGAGAGACAAUUGCAAAGGGAAGGAGUAGCCAGGUAGCACAGUGUAUAGAAUGCCAGGCUAGGAGUUGAGAGAAUUUGGGUUCAUGUGGCCUCAGAUACUUAAUAGGUGUGUGGCCCUGGGCAAGUCACUUUCAAUUGCUUAGCCAUUGCCACUCUUCUGUCAUAGAACUGAUAUUAGUAAGACAGAAGAAGGUUUAAAAAAAUAAUUGUAAAGAGAGGCAGUGUAACAGAGAACACUGAGAAUCACUUCCCUUAAGGUGUCAGGAUGGAGAGAAAUGGAUCUUUCCCACUGAAAUUCUGUAAUUAAGUAAGCCAUUAGAGAGGAGGAGAAUCAGGAUACUGUGCUGUCUUUAAACAAGCCAAAAAAAAAGGUAUCCAGGUGGGUAGGGCAGCAGCCUGGAGAAGUCAAGGAGUAUGAAGGUUCUCACAAUAGAAAAUAAGAUAAACUGAGGUAAUCAAGUUCUAAACAUGUUCCCUUUAUUAGCAAAGCUAGUUGCCAACAAAAGAGGUCAAUGGCUCUCCAGUAGCCAAAGAUCCCCUCAGUUAAGGAAAAUAGGAUCUUUUAUAGUGAUUAACAAGAUGACAACAAAAUGUGGAGCAAUAUAGGUAUGCCUUCUGAUUGGCUAGACUUUUCCAUGAGGAGGUAAGAUGAGUAACCUCAGCUCUUCCAGACCCUCACAUCGAUAAGGGAGGAAAUGAGUACUUAGGUGAUGACACAAAUUUGUAGGUGAUGGGAGUUGCUACUGCAGUUUAGAUUGCUGAAGUUGACCUUUAGGCAAGUUCUCUGCAAUGAGGGUGGGGAGUGAAGUUACUAGAGUGGGGAUACAAGCCUUGACUUGCCCAAUUCCCCGGGGGUUACCCCAGUACACUUAUCAGAGGUAAGGGAUUUAGUCUCACACAGUCGAGGAAAAUAUUAAAUCUAUAUUGGCUUGAUUAAGUCUUAACAAUUAUAGAAUUAAAAAUCAAUUUUAAAUUUCCCAUGACUAAAAAAUGGCAAUUUGGUCUGGCAUUACGGAAGUCAUUGGUAACCUCUGACAGACCAUUUUCAGUUGAGUUGUGUGGGAUAUAAAGACACAAAAGGGCUGAGGGCAAAUGGUUUGUAUGGAAAUACAUCAGAUAUAAAUAAUAUUUUGAUAAAGAUUGGUAGUGAACCAGAGGAAUGCCUUUAGAGAGGAUUUAAGGAAAAAUUUUUAAAUAUCACAGAAUGAGAAGACUAUUAUAAUGAAUUAUAAGGAUGUUUUUUCAUCUGGAUUGGUAGGAGUUGCCAAGAGGAAUAAAAUCAUAGAUCCACCAGAAUAUUGGCAGUGAAAGAAAAGAGGUCCAAGGAGUUGAUAGUUGGAUUUAGUAGAAGAGUUAAGGAACAAAAGGUUUGAGGGAAAAGGCUGAAGAUGGACAUGAUUUUAGUCUCACGAAAGAAGCAGUGACCUACCUCUAAGAGUCCUGAGAAUCAAAUGAAAUAAUAUUUGUAAAGUACUUAGCACUAUGCAUGGUACAUAGUAGGUGCUAUAGAAUUAUUUAUAACUUUGCCCCUCUGAACCCUAUUAUUAUAUUAUUAGGGUUUUAGUUUAAUUUGAAGAAAGGUGCAGGAGUGGUUCGAUUAUGCCAUUUUUCUUGAACCAUUACUAAUAACUAUUAUCAAGAUAAAAGAGCAAAGGCUAGGUAGAUGAUGUUAGAUGACUUGCCUAGAUUCAUUAAGCUAGGAAGUGCCUGAAGCCAAAUUUGAACCACCCUCCCCACCACCCCCAAAGGAACAAUGGAGAUAAAGGUUGAAGGGAUAUUUGUGUUAGGGUACAGGGUUGGUACAAUUAUUGUUAUAAAGCCCUGGAAGAAGCUGGGAUAAUACAAGAAAUGGGGAUGAAGGAUCAAGGGCAGCUAAAAAGAUCAGCCUUUGCAGGUAGUUAGGGAUACUAGAGAUUUCCUAUGAAUGGGAGAUGAGUCCAUUCAACAAAUGGAAUCCCUUUGGAUGACCUCCUUUCUCUCAGUGAAGCAAGAGACUGUUAUCUGCUUUAAAAGAUCUGAUGGUCUGAGAAGAAGAAAAAGUUUAGAACAUCCACAAUUGCACAUUAGAUAAUUGUUAAGAAGCAGUCAUAUGAACUGAUGAAUUUUUCCUCUGCCCCCAGCCCGUAGCCUCCAUUUUAGUGGAGAUGAUAAUGAGCAGUGAAGUUGCCAGAAGACUCUGAAUCCACCAGAUUCUAUCAGCAGCAUAUGGGAGGACAUAUAAAUCGACUGAAUGUACACUUGCAUCCUCACCAUGCCCUCACAACCAAUAAAAUUGUGUACCUUCA